rnacentral:rRNA from 1 species
AACGAACGCUGGCGGCAGGCCUAACACAUGCAAGUCGAACGCUCGUAGCAAUACGGGAGUGGCGCACGGGUGAGUAACGCGUGGGAAAGUGCCCUUUAGUACGGGAUAGCACCGGGAAACUGGUGCUAAUACCGUAUACGCCCUUCGGGGGAAAGAUUUAUCGCUAAAGGAUCGGCCCGCGUCAGAUUAGCUAGUUGGUGGGGUAACGGCCUACCAAUGCUCCGAUCUGUAGCUGAUCUGAGAGGAUGAUCAGCCACACUGAAACUGAGACACGGUUCAGACUCCUACGGGAGGCAGCAGUGGGGAAUAAUGGACAAUGGGCGCAAGCCUGAUCCAGCCAUGCCGCGUGAGUGAUGAAGGCCCUAGGGUUGUAAAGCUCUUUUGUGCGGGAAGAUAAUGACGGUACCGCAAGAAUAAGCCCCGGCUAACUUCGUGCCAGCCGCCGCGGUA